GCAGUCGUGGCCGAGUGGUUAAGGCGAAGGACUAGAAAUCCAUUGGGGUUUCUAGUCCUUCACAGGUUCGAAUCCUGUUGACUGCG
rnacentral:tRNA from 1 species